rnacentral:rRNA from 1 species
GACGAACGCUGGCGGCGUGCCUAAUACAUGCAAGUAGAACGCUGAAGGAGGAGCUUGCUUCUCUGGAUGAGUUGCGAACGGGUGAGUAACGCGUAGGUAACCUGCCUGGUAGCGGGGGAUAACUAUUGGAAACGAUAGCUAAUACCGCAUAAGAGUAGAUGUUGCAUGACAUUUGCUUAAAAGGUGCACUUGCAUCACUACCAGAUGGCCCUGCGUUAUAUUAGCUAGUUGGUGGGGUAACGGCUCACCAAGGCGACGAUACAUAGCCGACCUGAGAGGGUGAGCGGCCACACUGGGAAUGAGACACGGCCCAGACUCCUACGGGAGGCAGCAGUAGGGAAUCUUCGGCAAUGGACGGAAGUCUGACCGAGCAACGCCGCGUGAGUGAAGAAGGGUUUCGGAUCGUAAAGCUCUGUUGUAAGAGAAGAACGAGUGUGAGAGUGGAAAGUUCACACUGUGACGGUAUCUUACCAGAAAGGGACGGCUAACUACGUG